rnacentral:rRNA from 1 species
AUGUGCUUCGAGUUCGGCUCGUGCUUCGGCGGCGGCAGGAGGGACGACUACGGCGGCGAGCGGUCCAACCGCAACGAGGCCGGCGGUCGUCGCCGAGGCCGCAGAGGGAACAACAAUAGCAACGGCUACUACGCCAGCGCCGACCAGGAUGCAGCCUACCACAGCAGGCCGGCCAGCGCAGUCGACGAGGCCGGGCACAAGGCCUAUCAUGACGGUGCUGGUUACGCCGCCUACACGCAGCACAAGGCCGACGUCGGGACGUCAAAGCUUCCCGGCGAUCCCGCGUGGCACAACAAGGUCGGCGACCAUGGCUACACGGGGCGCCUCCAAGAAGCAAGAACUGCUGCCAUGGAUUACCACCACUACCCAACCACCACCACUACCGCUCUCGGCAGGUACUAG